CAGACUGAUAGGAGGAACCAAAGAGCUCUGUAAAGGGUCCAGCCUGGCCCAGCCUGGCUCCGUUCGACCCGGUCCUAUUGGUGCUAGGACCCGUUUUGCAUUGAGCAGGAUACAUCAGGUGUCUUAUAAUGUGACACUUAAUGUUUUUGGACAUCGUCGGCAGCAGAUGAGAAAAGAUCACACCUCUUUCUGCAUCCAACUUAUCCUCGCCCAGAUGUAACAACAGCAGCAAAAGGGGACAAGAUGAAAGUACAAAGUGAACGGCGCCGGCCCCCUCAUAUCUGCGCCUGGGCAUCGCUGCAGCAUGGCAUCUCAGCUCAGCGAGCAGAAGGGGGGAGAUUAUUCUGUGCUCACAUCAAAGGAGGUUUGUCUAACUUUGGUCUGGCGUUGUGCUGGUAGAGCAGGCCCCCGGUGCAGCCUCUCCGUUCUUAUCUCUCCCCCACAGAUUCUCCCCGCUUUCUGCUGCAGCACAGCUGGCUCCCGGUAACACUGACGCAUGAAUUUGUGGUUCUGUACAGUCAGGCGCGCACACAAACACCAAUUCCCGUUCCCCUUGUAUGAAAACACACAAAGACGCACAACACUGAGGCAGCUCUUUUUUCUCCUUCUUCUUCUUCUGAUAUUAGUAGAAUUUGUUCUGCUGAGCCAGUAUCUCUGCCUCCCUUCUCCAGCCUCUGCUGAGAGGUGAACCUGGUUCAGUGAAUAUAUGAAAUGGAUUAAGGAAAACGGAUUAUCGCGGGACAGAUGCAUGGAAAGAGAACUCUCCACAUGUGAAUAUGAUGUUCAGUGUGUAUUGUGUGCAUUAAAAGCCUAAUUCAUUGGGGUCAAGUAAACAACAGUUAACUCUAGCUCAAUCCAAUUUAUUUUAUUUUUAGUAACUAAUUUUAUUAUUUGAAGUAGGAGAAAUGGUUCUCUAGAAUUUAUUCAUCUCAUAGCAGCAUUUUCCUCCCUUACACACUAUAUCGUGUUCACACUCUGCACAGAACACAGCCACAAUGAAAACACAUCUUCAUAAUAUAGGGCAAUUUAAAAGGUCAAUUUAGACUGUGAAAACCCACACAUCACCUCACUGAUCCCAAGCAAGACUUCAAUGAGAAACCUUGUUUGCUUUGA